UAGGUCGACCCGCUGAACUUAAGCAUAUCAAUAAGCGGAGGAAGAGAAACCAACCGGGAUUCCCCCAGUAACGGCGAGCGAAGCGGGAAGCGGCCCAGGUCUGUAAUCUCCGGUCGGGCCGAGUGCGACCGGCGAAUUGUGGUCUGGAGAGUCGGAUCGUCCCCGUGCCCCGCUGGCGAACGGGCCCGAAGUCGACUUGGAACGGCGUGCCGGAGAGGGUGAGAGCCCCGUAGGGCACGGCAACCGAGAGCGGGGGGACGCACGGAUCCGGACUCGACGAGUCGGGUUGUUUGGGAAUGCAGCCCCAAGCGGGUGGUAGACUCCAUCCAAGGCUAAAUACGGGCGCGAGACCGAUAGCGAACAAGUACC
rnacentral:rRNA from 1 species